rnacentral:rRNA from 1 species
UACGUAGGGUGCGAGCGUUGUCCGGAAUUACUGGGCGUAAAGAGCUCGUAGGUGGUUUGUCGCGUUGUCCGUGAAAACUCACAACUCAAUUGUGGGCGUGCGGGCGAUACGGGCAGACUGGAGUACUGCAGGGGAGACUGGAAUUCCUGGUGUAGCGGUGGAAUGCGCAGAUAUCAGGAGGAACACCGGUGGCGAAGGCGGGUCUCUGGGCAGUCACUGACGCUGAGACGCGAAAGCGUGGGGAGCAAACAGG